GACGAGGGGUCCUAGCGUUGUUCGGAAUCAUUGGGCGUAAAGCGUGUGUAGGCGGCCUUGUAAGUCAGUUGUGAAAGCCCCGGGCUCAACCCGGGAAGUGCUCCUGAUACUGCGAGGCUUGAGUACUGGAGAGGAUAGUGGAAUUCCAGGUGUAGUGGUGAAAUACGUAGAUAUCUGGAGGAACACCGGUGGCGAAGGCGGCUAUCUGGCCAUGUACUGACGCUGAGACACGAAAGCAUGGGGAGCAAACAGG
rnacentral:rRNA from 1 species